UGGGGAAUUUUGGACAAUGGGCGCAAGCCUGAUCCAGCAAUGCCGCGUGCGGGAUGAAGGCCUUCGGGUUGUAAACUGCUUUUGUACGGAACGAAAAGCUUCUGGUUAAUACCUGGGAGUCAUGACGGUACCGUAAGAAUAAGCACCGGCUAACUACGUGCCAGCAGCCGCGGUAAUACGUAGGGUGCGAGCGUUAAUCGGAAUUACUGGGCGUAAAGCGUGCGCAGGCGGUUAUGUAAGACAGAGGUGAAAUCCCCGGGCUCAACCUGGGAACUGCCGUUGUGACUGCAUGGCUAGAGUGCGGCAGAGGGGGAUGGAAGUCCGCGUGUAACAGUGAAAAGCGUAGAUAUGCGGAGGAACACCGAUGGCGAAGGCAAUCCCCUGGGCCUGCACUGACGCUCAUGAACGAAAGCGUGGGGAGCAAACA
rnacentral:rRNA from 1 species